GUGGAAUGCGCAGAUAUCAGGAGGAACACCGGUGGCGAAGGCGGGUCUCUGGGCAGUAACUGACGCUGAGGAGCGAAAGCGUGGGGAGCGAACAGGAUUAAAUACCCUGGUAGUCCACGCCGUAAACGGUGGGUACUAGGUGUGGGUUUCCUUCCUUGGGAUCCGUGCCGUAGCUAACGCAUUAAGUACCCCGCCUGGGGAGUACGGCCGCAAGGCUAAAACUCAAAGAAAUUGACGGGGGCCCGCACAAGCGGCGGAGCAUGUGGAUUAAUUCGAUGCAACGCGAAGAACCUUACCUGGGUUUGACAUGCACAGGACGCCGGCAGAGAUGUCGGUUCCCUUGUGGCCUGUGUGCAGGUGGUGCAUGGCUGUCGUCAGCUCGUGUCGUGAGAUGUUGGGUUAAGUCCCGCAACGAGCGCAACCCUUGUCUCAUGUUGCCAGCGGGUAAUGCCGGGGACUCGUGAGAGACUGCCGGGGUCAACUCGGAGGAAGGUGGGGAUGACGUCAAGUCAUCAUGCCCCUUAUGUCCAGGGCUUCACACAUGCUACAAUGGCCGGUACAAAGGGCUGCGAUGCCGCGAGGUUAAGCGAAUCCUUUUAAA
rnacentral:rRNA from 1 species